rnacentral:rRNA from 1 species
UGGCGAACGGGUGAGUAAUACAUCGGAACGUGUCGAAAAGAGGGGGAUAACCACCCGAAAGGGUGGCUAAUACCGCAUAAAUUCUGAGGAAGAAAGCUGGGGACCUAGGAAUAGGCCUAGCGCUUUUUGAGCGGCCGAUGUCGGAUUAGCUAGUUGGUGAGGUAAAGGCUCACCAAGGCGAAGAUCUGUAGCGGGUCUGAGAGGAUGAUCCGCCACACUGGGACUGAGACACGGCCCAG